UACGUAGGGGGCGAGCGUUGUCCGGAAUUAUUGGGCGUAAAGAGCUCGUAGGCGGUUUGGUAAGUCGGGUGUGAAACCUCCAGGCUCAACCUGGAGAUGCCACUCGAUACUGCCAUGACUAGAGUCCGGUAGGGGGUCCACGGAAUUCCUGGUGUAGCGGUGAAAUGCGCAGAUAUCAGGAGGAACACCGGUGGCGAAGGCGGUGAGCUGGGCCGGAACUGACGCUGAGGAGCGAAAGCGUGGGGAGCGAACAGG
rnacentral:rRNA from 1 species